UACGUAGGCAGCGAGCGUUGUUCGGAGUUACUGGGCGUAAAGGGUGUGUAGGCGGUCUUUUAAGUUUGGUGUGAAAUCUCCCGGCUUAACCGGGAGGGUGCGCCGAAUACUGAGGGACUAGAGUGCGGGAGAGGAAAGUGGAAUUCCUGGUGUAGCGGUGAAAUGCGUAGAUAUCAGGAGGAACACCGGUGGUGUAGACGGCUUUCUGGACCGUAACUGACGCUGAGACACGAAAGCGUGGGUAGCAAAUAGG
rnacentral:rRNA from 1 species